rnacentral:rRNA from 1 species
AUUGAACGCUGGCGGCAGGCCUAACACAUGCAAGUCGAGCGGAUGAAGGGAGCUUGCUCCUGGAUUCAGCGGCGGACGGGUGAGUAAUGCCUAGGAAUCUGCCUGGUAGUGGGGGAUAACGUCCGGAAACGGGCGCUAAUACCGCAUACGUCCUGGGGAGAAAGUGGGGGAUCUUCGGACCUCACGCUAUCAGAUGAGCCUAGGUCGGAUUAGCUAGUUGGUGGGGUAAAGGCCUACCAAGGCGACGAUCCGUAACUGGUCUGAGAGGAUGAUCAGUCACACUGGAACUGAGACACGGUCCAGACUCCUACGGGAGGCAGCAGUGGGGAAUAUUGGACAAUGGGCGAAAGCCUGAUCCAGCCAUGCCGCGUGUGUGAAGAAGGUCUUCGGAUUGUAAAGCACUUUAAGUUGGGAGGAAGGGCAGUAAGUUAAUACCUUGCUGUUUUGACGUUACCAACAGAAUAAGCACCGGCUAACUUCGUG